CCUCCACCUCGUUUUUCAUUUACAGCUAUCAAAUAAUAUUUGCUGUUAACCAUUAUAUAUAGGGUUUAACAUUUUAAUAUAUAUGUCCUGACUGACUGACGGUAAACACCAUCAAUCUACUGUCAAGAUGCCUUGCCUGUAAAACUGACGAGUGAAAGCAGGGCUCUUUGAGCUGUAUCUCAUUUCUUUUUAAGCUUAAAAUUUUGUAAUGAAGUUGUAAUUGACAUUUUCUUAUGCAAGAGAGUUCUGUAAGUGUCGAGGAAUGGUGGUAAUGACACUUCGCCAAAUGAGAAUGUGGAGGAUCCUCUUGACUUGCAAUGUGUCCAGCAAAAUUGGCAAAUUGAGUUGACAAGUGAAUGGUGGUGAAGAGGUGUUGGAUAAUGUUGCUGCUAAGGAUGGUUUUAAGGAACAAACCUAUACUAGAAGAAAGAUAUCUUGGUUUCAAGUUUGUCAUUCGUUGGGAGGAGAUGCAGGAUCAGGAUUGAUACCACAUGACCACAUAACUUGGAGUAUUCUGUUGGAGGCUUGAACCAUCUCAUUUGUGGAGUAACAUGCUGUCUUCGAUACCUGAUCAACUUAACUCUGAUCUUCACAAGCUAACUGUUGACCUGGUUCCCUUCCCUCGUCUCUACUACUUUAUGGUUGCUUUUGCACCUCUUACCUCUCUGGGGUCGCAGCAGUGCAGAACCCCAACAGUACCUUACUCAGCAAAUCUGUGAUGCCAAGAACAUAAGGUGUGCUGCUGAUCCUCGCCAUGGUCGGUGUCUAACUGCUUCAGCUAUGUUCCGCGGAAAGAUGAGCAGUAAGGAAGUUGGUAAGCAGAUUAACAAUGUUCAGAACAAAAUUUCGCUGUACAUUGUUGAAUGGAUUCACCCAACAAUAUGAAGUCUACUGUUUGUGAUAUUCCACCAACAGGGUUUAAAAUGGCAUCUACAUUUAUUGGAAAUUCGAAUUCCACAUCUAUCCAAGAGAUGUUCUGUAGAG